AGAGUUUGAUCCUGGCUCAGAUUGAACGCUGGCGGCAUGCCUUACACAUGCAAGUCGAACGGUAACAGGCCGCAAGGUGCUGACGAGUGGCGAACGGGUGAGUAAUGCAUCGGAACGUGCCCAGUAGUGGGGGAUAGCCCGGCGAAAGCCGGAUUAAUACCGCAUACGACCUGAGGGUGAAAGGGGGGGAUCGCAAGACCUCUCGCUAUUGGAGCGGCCGAUGUCAGAUUAGCUAGUUGGUGGGGUAAAGGCCUACCAAGGCAACGAUCUGUAGUUGGUCUGAGAGGACGACCAGCCACACUGGGACUGAGACACGACCCAGACUCCUACGGGAGGCAGCAGUGGGGAAUUGUGGACAAUGGGCGCAAGCCUGAUCCAGCAAUGCCGCGUGCAGGAAGAAGGCCUUCGGGUUGUAAACUGCUUUUGUCAGGGAAGAAAUCUUCUGGGUUAAUACCUCGGGAGGAUGACGGUACCUGAAGAAUAAGCACCGGCUAACUACGUGCCAGCAGCCGCGGUAAUACGUAGGGUGCGAGCGUUAAUCGGAAUUACUGGGCGUAAAGCGUGCGCAGGCGGCUUUGCAAGACAGAGGUGAAAUCCCCGGGCUCAACCUGGGAACUGCCUUUGUGACUGCAAGGCUAGAGUACGGCAGAGGGGGAUGGAAUUCCGCGUGUAGCAGUGAAAUGCGUAGAUAUGCGGAGGAACACCAAUGGCGAAGGCAAUCCCCUGGGCCUGUACUGACGCUCAUGCACGAAAGCGUGGGGAGCAAACAGGAUUAGAUACCCUGGUAGUCCACGCCCUAAACGAUGUCAACUGGUUGUUGGACGGCUUGCUGUUCAGUAACGAAGCUAACGCGUAAAGUUGACCGCCUGGGGAGUACAGCCGCAAGGUUGAAACUCAAAGGAAUUGACGGGGACCCGCACAAGCGGUGGAUGAUGUGGUUUAAUUCGAUGCAACGCGAAAAACCUUACCUACCCUUGACAUGUCAAGAUUCUUGCAGAGAUGUGAGAGUGCUCGAAAGAGAACUUGAACACAGGUGCUGCAUGGCCGUCGUCAGCUCGCGUCGUGAGAUGUUGGGUUAAGUCCCGCAACGAGCGCAACCCUUGUCAUCAGUUGCUACGAAAGGGCACUCUGGUGAGACUGCCGGUGACAAACCGGAGGAAGGUGGGGAUGACGUCAGGUCCUCAUGGCCCUUAUGGGUAGGGCUACACACGUCAUACAAUGGCCGGUACAGAGGGUUGCCAACCCGCGAGGGGGAGCCAAUCCCAGAAAACCGGUCGUAGUCCGGAUCGCAGUCUGCAACUCGACUGCGUGAAGUCGGAAUCGCUAGUAAUCGCGGAUCAGCUUGCCGCGGUGAAUACGUUCCCGGGUCUUGUACACACCGCCCGUCACACCAUGGGAGCGGGUUCCGCCAGAAGUAGUUAGCCUAACCGCAAGGAGGGCGAUUACCACGGCGGGGUUCGUGACUGGGGUGAAG
rnacentral:rRNA from 1 species